GCCUGGUUAGCUCAGUCGGUAGAGCAUCAGUCUUUUAAUAUAAAGGUCGGGAAUUUGAGCCCCCCAUCGGGCG
rnacentral:tRNA from 1 species